AUCUAGCUGAUGAGUCCCAAAUAGGAUGAAUCCCGCGUUCUGGAU
rfam:Schistosoma mattheei strain Denwood, Zambia genome assembly, scaffold: SMTD_scaffold0008625